UGGUCAUUACCAAGGCUUUUAAAAUGCCAUUUCUGAUUUACUGUGGACUUGACUAUAAAAAAAAAAACUUCCCACUAGGUUCUACCUUGAUGGCAUUCAACCGUUUGGGAACAUUG
ensembl:snoRNA small nucleolar RNA SNORA32